rnacentral:rRNA from 1 species
UGGGGAAUAUUGGACAAUGGGCGCAAGCCUGAUCCAGCAAUGCCGCGUGUGUGAAGAAGGCCUUAGGGUUGUAAAGCACUUUCAGUGGGGAGAAAGUUACGGGUGUUAAUACCAUUCGUAAUUGAUGUUACCCACAGAAGAAGCACCGGCUAACUCUGUGCCAGCAGCCGCGGUAAUACAGAGGGUGCAAGCGUUAAUCGGAAUUACUGGGCGUAAAGCGUGUGUAGGUGGUUGCGUAAGUUAGAUGUGAAAUCCCCGGGCUCAACCUGGGAAUUGCGUUUAAAACUGCGUAGCUAGAGUAUUGUAGAGGAUAGUGGAAUUUCCAGUGUAGCGGUGAAAUGCGUAGAUAUUGGAAGGAACACCAGUGGCGAAGGCGACUAUCUGGGCAAAUACUGACACU